CCUACGGGAGGCAGCAGUUGGGAAUUUUGCACAAUGGACGAAAGUCUGAUGCAGCAACGCCGCGUGCGGGAUGAAGAUUUUCGGAUUGUAAACCGCUUUUAUUUGGGAGUAACUGUUUGAACGUACCAAAUGAAUAAGCACCGGCUAACUCCGUGCCAGCAGCCGCGGUAAUACGGAGGGUGCAAACGUUGUCCGGAAUUACUGGGCGUAAAGCGCAUGUAGGUGGUCUAAUAAGUGAACGAUUAAAUACCGACGCUUAACGUCGGAAAGGUUAUUCAUACUGUUAGACUCGAGGAAGACAGGGGCAGAUGGAACUUUAAGUGUAGGAGUGAUAUCCGUAGAUAUUUAAAGGAACACCAAUGGCGAAGGCAGUCUGCUGGGUCUUUUCUGACACUGAGAUGCGAAAGUGUGGGGAGCAAACGGGAUUAGAUACCCCGGUAGUCCACACUGUAAACGAUGCUCACUAGGUCUUGGAGGGUAUCGACCCCCUUUUGGACCGAAGCUAACGCGUUAAGUGAGCCGCCUGGGGAGUACGAACGCAAGUUUAAAACUCAAAGGAAUUGACGG
rnacentral:rRNA from 1 species